UCUCCUACGGGGCGCAGCAGGGGGGGAUAUUGCACAAUGGAGGAAACUCUGAUGCAGCGACGCCGCGUGAGGGAAGACGGUCUUCGGAUUGUAAACCUCUGUCUUUGGGGAAGAAAAUGACGGUACCCAAAGAGGAAGCUCCGGCUAACUACGUGCCAGCAGCCGCGGUAAUACGUAGGGAGCGAGCGUUGUCCGGAAUUACUGGGUGUAAAGUGAGCGGAGGCGGGCGGGGAAGAUGAAUGUUAAAUCUACAGGCUUAACUGGUAGCUGCGUUC
rnacentral:rRNA from 1 species